rnacentral:rRNA from 1 species
GACGAACGCUGGCGGCGUGCUCAACACAUGCAAGUCGAACGGAAAGGCCCUGCUUUUGUGGGGUGCUCGAGUGGCGAACGGGUGAGUAACACGUGAGUAACCUGCCCUUGACUUUGGGAUAACUUCAGGAAACUGGGGCUAAUACCGGAUAGGAGCUCCUGCUGCAUGGUGGGGGUUGGAAAGUUUCGGCGGUUGGGGAUGGACUCGCGGCUUAUCAGCUUGUUGGUGGGGUAGUGGCUUACCAAGGCUUUGACGGGUAGCCGGCCUGAGAGUGUGACCGGCCACAUUGGGACUGAGAUACGGCCCAGACUCCUACGGGAGGCAGCAGUGGGGAAUAUUGCACAAUGGGCGGAAGCCUGAUGCAGCAACGCCGCGUGCGGGAUGACGGCCUUCGGGUUGUAAACCGCUUUCGCCUGUGACGAAGCGUGAGUGACGGUAAUGGGUAAAGAAGCACCGGCUAACUACGUG